GCCUGGGUGGCUCAGUCAGUUAAGCAUCCAGCUUUGGCUUAGAUCAUGAUCUCAUGGUUUGUGGGUUCAAGCCCCACAUCAGGCU
rnacentral:tRNA from 1 species